GUGGGGAAUUUUGCGCAAUGGGGGAAACCCUGACGCAGCAACGCCGCGUGAGUGAUGAAGGCCUUCGGGUCGUAAAGCUCUGUCAGAGGGGAAGAAAUGCAGGGGUGCUAAUAUCAUCUUUGCUUGACGGUACCCUCAAAGGAAUCACCGGCUAACUCCGUGCCAGCAGCCGCGGUAAUACGGAGGGUGCGAGCGUUGUUCGGAAUUAUUGGGCGUAAAGCGCGUGUAGGCGGUUUGAUAAGUCUGAUGUGAAAGCCCCGGGCUCAACCUGGGAAGUGCAUUGGAAACUGUCAGACUUGAAUACGGGAGAGGGUAGUGGAAUUCCUAGUGUAGGAGUGAAAUCCGUAGAUAUUAGGAGGAACACCGGUGGCGAAGGCGGCUACCUGGACCGAUAUUGACGCUGAGACGCGAAAGCGUGGGGAGCAAACAG
rnacentral:rRNA from 1 species